ensembl:lncRNA novel transcript
GGCAGAGGGGGAUUUGCCAGGGUAAAGAGGAGGCUGGGAGGAAGAGGCCUGCCGAGGGAGGCUUUGUCUUUUCAGCCAGAGUUUGACAAUUAGGCUUCAUCAUGUCACGAUGCGGUGCUACUGCUGACCCCAAAACACAACGCCGGAAGUGGUGCUCACUAGAGACUAUGUGUCAGAACUGUGACGCUGAAUCCGGAGCCCCAACCUCUCCUAGCCUCCUAGAGGAGGAUGACCCAGGACCCUUGUCCUCCCAACAGCAGGCCACCAGUUCAAGGGACAAGAAGCCCCUAAGCUCCCUCCACCUUUCACAUAGGGCCCAGGUGGCCUUGGAGUACCUGCCUUUCUUCUGCACCUAUGGGUGCCUCCUGGAAGAGGAGGGGUUGGUCCUGCAGCCCAAGACACCGCUCCAGGAGGACUCAGAACUGCUCAGUGGGUUCUUCCCUUACUACCGCUCUGAGGAGGAGAGUUUGCCCAGCCUGGCCCUUCCUGGCUGGUCACACAGGGGCUCCCAAGAUCUGCCCACUGAGAAGGAGGCACGGGCUGGCUGCUUCUGCAGGACAACAGUCAGGGACGAAUGCUCUGUCUCGGCAGAGUUCCCCCGUGACAGUGACCGGGAUGCCCCUCUCUCCAGGGACCAUGGUCUUUAUGCCUCAGGAUUUGUGCAUUACUACAGAACCCCUGAGGAGGGGUUACACACUAGCCCUGGGCCUCCUGCCUUUCCAUCUGGGAGCCAGGGGCCCUCAGGGGCUGCCCAGGGCUGGUGCAGUCACACCACGGGGAAGCCGGAGCUGACUGCAACAGAAACCACUGGAGAGCAGGCCCCCAGCACCCACUGACUGUCGAGGGAUGAAGCCUGACCCAAGCUCAGACAGAGGAAGCAGGAGCCACCUGAACAACUGAAGGGUGCAGACACCCAGAAGCUGGUUUUGUAAAUAAAUCGUGCACCUUGGCGCUGGUGCACUAAUUGGA